rnacentral:rRNA from 1 species
AACGUAGGACGCAAGCGUUAUCCGGAGUUACUGGGCGUAAAGGGCGUGUAGGCGGCUUUUCAAGUUCGUCGUGAAAGCCCCCGGCUAAACCGGGGGAGGUCGAGGGAGACUGAGAAGCUAGAGGGCGGUAGAGGGACAGGGAAUUCCGGGUGUAGUGGUGAAAUGCGUAGAGAUCCGGAGGAACACCAGUGGCGAAGGCGCUGUCCUGGGCCGCAACUGACGCUGAAACGCGAAAGCAUGGGGAGCGAACGGG